CUUCUCUAUUUUCUCUCCUCUUCUCCUCAGACUCUCUCCGUUCCUGUCCUUUUCCUCCCUCUCUCUCUCUCUCUCUCUCUCUCUCUCGUGCUUUCGCUCGUAUUUAUUCUUGAUUCCACGACCUCUGAAAGCUUCAAUAAAACCUCCAGACGAGUGAAGAUCCGCACAAGUCUAGAUUAGUAGUUCAUUUUGGAAUCUCAUUACUUGAUUCGAUGUUAACCCUGAUUUUGUUUCUCUUAACUUUUGCCGGUGAUUUCGCUUGUGAAGGCCACCAAAUUUCUCAUUUUCUCUAAAAUCUGGCCUCAAACAACCCUUUCCAUUCCAACACAUGGGCGGGUCAACAGAAUCCUAAUCAACAGUAAGCUCUCAAGCUUCGCCCACCGCCGCUUUGUUCUUCUUUUUCUUCCCCGUGCUGCGCCGUUCUUUGCAGAUGCUUGUAGAUCGAUAGUUGAUUGCGAUUUGUGUGUGAAAAGUGCAGGUUAAGGAGGGAAAAGAGAUGACCAGUGGGAUGCUGCUCGUGGAAUUCUUAGUAUCUGAUCUCAUCAAUUUUUUGGGUUUUCUUUUAUAGUGGUGCUGCAAUUGGACAUUUCUUUGGUUCUUUUCGCUCGCACGCUUGUCUCAUCAAUUUAUUGGAAGUGGUUCAGGUUGUUAUGGGAUAAUGUAAUGAGUUUACGUUUCUUUAGAUUGAGGCUGAUUUACAGAUGAAUUCCAUGCUCAGGAUGGAAAAAAACUACUUGAUUACGUGGCUGAACAUAUUCAAUAGUAGUCUAUGAUGCAAGAGGAGGAUUCCUAAAACUAAUAGAUUUGUAGAUGUAAAUUACAGCUCCAGUAGCUAUUAGCUGUUGAGGAGUUAGGUCUAUCUUUGCAAAUGCUAAUAUCAUCAAAGAAUGGAAGCAAGAGGUAGAGCAAUACCAAAGAAAAAUUCAGUUGAAGUUUCAAAGUCUGCUGAUUGUUCCCUUGAGGAAAGCACAACUCCAACGAUAGUAUUGCAGAAUGAGAGCAAAAUUUAUGUCAUCGAAAUGAUAGAAAAGAAUUUCCAUCAAAACUGAAAUUUGCGGCUGAUCAUUCUCUCGAAGAAGGCGAAAUGCUUGUUUUUCUUCCUCAAUCCAGCAAUUCUUUUGCUGCUGUUGUCCUUAACAAAAACGAAUUGAAAAUAUGUAUCUAUGGCAUUAUAAAAUUUAUUCUGUUUCUAAAAUAUAUAAUGUAAUUUGAUUGUGGUUAGCGCAUGUUGCUUUCUUGUGAGCC